rnacentral:rRNA from 1 species
AUUGAACGCUGGCGGCAGGCCUAACACAUGCAAGUCGAACGAGUGGCGGACGGGUGAGUAAUGUCUGGGAAACUGCCCGAUGGAGGGGGAUAACUACUGGAAACGGUAGAUAAUACCGCAUACCAUCGGAUGUGCCCAGAUGGUAUUAGCUUGUAGGUGGGGUAACGGCUCACCCGGGCGACGACCCCUAGCUGGUCUGAGAGGAUGACCAGCCAGACUGGGGCUGAGGCACGGUCCAUGCUCCUACGGGAGGGAGCAGUGGGGAAGAUUGCACAAUGGGCGCAAGCCUGAUGCAGCCAUGCCGCGUGUAUGAAGAAGGCCUUCGGGUUGUAAAGUACUUUCAGCGAGGAGGCGUUACUCGCAGAAGAAGCACCGGCUAACUCCGUGCCAGCAGCCGCGGUAAUUC